rnacentral:rRNA from 1 species
UGAACGCUGGCGGCGUGCCUCAUACAUGCAAGUCGAGCGAACGGACGAGAAGCUUGCUUCUCUGAUGUUAGCGGCAGACGGGUGAGUAACACGUGGAUAACCUACCUAUAAGACUGGGAUAACUUCGGGAAACCGGAGCUAAUACCGGAUAAUAUUUUGAACCGCAUGGUUCAAAAGUGAAAGACGGUCUUGCUGUCACUUAUAGAUGGAUCCGCGCUGCAUUAGCUAGUUGGUAAGGUAACGGCUUACCAAGGCAACGAUGCAUAGCCGACCUGAGAGGGUGAUCGGCCACACUGGAACUGAGACACGGUCCAGACUCCUACGGGAGGCAGCAGUAGGGAAUCUUCCGCAAUGGGCGAAAGCCUGACUGAGCAACGCCGCGUGAGUGAUGAAGGUCUUCGGAUCGUAAAACUCUGUUAUUAGGGAAGAACAUAUGUGUAAGUAACUGUGCACAUCUUGACGGUACCUAAUCAGAAAGCCACGGCUAACUACGUG